rnacentral:rRNA from 1 species
GUGGGGAAUAUUGGGCAAUGGGGGGAACCCUGACCCAGCGACGCCGCGUGGGUGAAGAAAUCCUUCGGGAUGUAAAGCCCUGUUGUAUGGGAAGAGCGGAAGACGGUACCAUACGAGGAAGCCCCGGCAAACUACGUGCCAGCAGCAGCGGUAAUACGUAGGGGGCAAGCGUUGUCCCGAAUUACUGGGCGUAAAGCGCACGCAGGCUGAAUUAUACGUCGGUAGUAAAAGGCGGGGGCUCAACUUCCGUAUAUCUAUCGAUACUGUAAAUCUAGAGUAUGUGAGAGGGAAGCGGAAUUCCCGGUGUAGCGGUGAAAUGCAUAGAUAUCGGGAGGAACACCAGUGGCGAAGGCGGCUUCCUGGCACAAUACUGACGCUCAUGUGCGAAAGCUAGGGCAGCGAACGAGAUUAGAUACCCCGGUAGUCC